GACGAACGCUGGCGGCGUGCUUAACACAUGCAAGUCGAACGGAAAGGCCCUGCUUGCAGGGUACUCGAGUGGCGAACGGGUGAGUAACACGUUGGUGAUCUGCCCUUCACUUCGUGAUAAGCCUGGGAAACUGGGUCUAAUACCGGUUAGGUGCCAUUUUUAGUGUGUUGGUUGUAAAGUUUUUUCGGUGUAGUAUGAGCUCGCGGCCUAUCAGCUUGUUGGUGGGGUAAUGGCCUACCAAGGCGGCGACGGGUAGCCGGACUGAGAGGGUGGACUGCCAAAAUGGGAAUGAGAGACGGCACAGACGCGGACGGGAGGAAGAAGUGGGGAAUAAUGAAAAAUGGGAGCAAGCCUGAUGCAGCGACGCCGAGUGGGGGAUGACGGCCUUCGGGUUGUAAACUCCUUUCGCUAGGGACGAAGCUUUUUGUGACGGUACCUAGAUAAGAAGCACCGGCUAACUACGUG
rnacentral:rRNA from 1 species